AUUGAACGCUGGCGGCAUGCCUUACACAUGCAAGUCGAACGGUAACGCGGGGCAACCUGGCGACGAGUGGCGAACGGGUGAGUAAUGUAUCGGAGCGUGCCCAGUUGUGGGGGAUAACUGCUCGAAAGAGCAGCUAAUACCGCAUACGACCUGAGGGUGAAGGCGGGGGAUCGCAAGACCUCGCGCAAUUGGAGCGGCCGAUAUCAGAUUAGGUAGUUGGUGGGGUAAAGGCCCACCAAGCCAACGAUCUGUAGCUGGUCUGAGAGGACGACCAGCCACACUGGGACUGAGACACGGCCCAGACUCCUACGGGAGGCAGCAGUGGGGAAUUUUGGACAAUGGGCGCAAGCCUGAUCCAGCCAUGCCGCGUGCGGGAAGAAGGCCUUCGGGUUGUAAACCGCUUUUGUCAGGGAAGAAACGCUCUGGGUUAAUACCUCGGGGUAAUGACGGUACCUGAAGAAUAAGCACCGGCUAACUACGUGCCAGCCGCCGCAGUAACAC
rnacentral:rRNA from 1 species